rnacentral:rRNA from 1 species
CAGGCUGAUACCGCCCAAGAGUUCAUAUCGACGGCGGUGUUUGGCACCUCGAUGUCGGCUCAUCACAUCCUGGGGCUGAAGUCGGUCCCAAGGGUAUGGCUGUUCGCCAUUUAAAGUGGUACGCGAGCUGGGUUUAGAACGUCGUGAGACAGUUCGGUCCCUAUCUGGUGUGGGCGUUGGAUGAUUGAUGGGAGCUGCUCCUAGUACGAGAGGACCGGAGUGAACGAACCCCU